rnacentral:rRNA from 1 species
GACGAACGCUGGCGGCGCGCCUAACACAUGCAAGUCGAACGAGCGAGAGAGAGCUUGCUUUCUUGAGCGAGUGGCGAACGGGUGAGUAACGCGUGAGGAACCUGCCUCAAAGAGGGGGACAACAGUUGGAAACGACUGCUAAUACCGCAUAAGCCCACGGUGCCGCAUGGCACAGAGGGAAAAGGAGCAAUCCGCUUUGAGAUGGCCUCGCGUCCGAUUAGCUAGUUGGUGAGGUAACGGCCCACCAAGGCGACGAUCGGUAGCCGGACUGAGAGGUUGAACGGCCACAUUGGGACUGAGACACGGCCCAGACUCCUACGGGAGGCAGCAGUGGGGAAUAUUGCACAAUGGGGGAAAACCUGAUGCAGCGACGCCGCGUGGAGGAAGAAGGUCUUCGGAUUGUAAACUCCUGUUGUUGGGGAAGAUAAUGACGGUACCCAACAAGGAAGUGACGGCUAACUACGUG